AAGCCUAACACAUGCAAGUCGAACGGCAGCACAGAGGAGCUUGCUCCUUGGGUGGCGAGUGGCGGACGGGUGAGGAAUACAUCGGAAUCUACUCUGUCGUGGGGGAUAACGUAGGGAAACUUACGCUAAUACCGCAUACGACCUACGGGUGAAGGCAGGGGAUCUUCGGACCUUGCGCGAUUGAAUGAGCCGAUGUCGGAUUAGCUAGUUGGCGGGGUAAAGGCCCACCAAGGCGACGAUCCGUAGCUGGUCUGAGAGGAUGAUCAGCCACACUGGAACUGAGACACGGUCCAGACUCCUACGGGAGGCAGCAGUGGGGAAUAUUGGACAAUGGGCGCAAGCCUGAUCCAGCCAUACCGCGUNGGGUGAAGAAGGCCUUCGGGUUGUAAAGCCCUUUUGUUGGGAAAGAAAUCCAGCUGGGCUAAUACCCGGUUGGGAUGACGGUACCCAAAGAAUAAGCACCGGCUAACUUCGUGCCAGCAGCCGCGGUAAUUCGAAGGGUGCAAGCGUUACUCGGAAUUACUGGGCGUAAA
rnacentral:rRNA from 1 species